rnacentral:sRNA from 1 species
UUGACAACUCAAUUUUCAGCCUCUCGAUCUCCGCCUGAAAUAACAAUCAGGUUAAAAUCAUCGAAUCAUCGACAAAUUAUUUACAAACAAGUCAAAACCGAGGUGUACCUGGAACGAGACUUCGCGAUCCUGACCAGCCUUCACACUCGACGUCAGCUCCCGGAUGAGGGUCUUUCCUUCUUCGAGCUCACUCGCCGAGGGAACCUGGCUCAGACGCUGCUCAUAGAGAGCGACCAGCUUGUUUGUGGCAGCUAUCGCCUACCGAAAGCAAAACAAAAAGUCACAACUAGCAUAAAGAAAAGAAUUAGAAGGAGACAGUUAUUGAUAAUUACCUGGCCCUCCUUCGCCAUCAUGUCAGCAUAGGCCGCCGCCUCGGCCAUGUUCUUCACUUCAGGAACCUGGCAGUUCCUCCCUUUGAUAUGGCGAAGCAGGUUCACCAAUCCAGCCUCGUCCUCAACGAUCGGGUGAUCACGGUCAUGAGUGUAAGACCAGUGGAAAGGCCUGCUUCCCGCGGAUCCUCCGCCGGAGUUGGACGUCUGCCUCACUUCCUGAGACCGGUUUGAAGACCUGCCCCCAACUCUGGAGCCUCGUCCUCCGCCAUGGGACCUGCCCGAGGAUUGCCUAUCCGCGGACGCAGUUGCCUCCGGAGUAGCAGCCGCAGGUUCCAUCCUCUGCUCUAUGGGAGAGGUGACCCUCUAGUCGCUCACGACUAACUCAGCCGCUGGAUUCACCUUCGGCUGGGUCCGAGCCCUCUUCGGAGAGGACGGUGCACAUCAGAACGAACAACUGCAGCAGCAGAGGUCCCGGUGUUGACCUCAGGAAGGGAGGGAUGAGAUGCUGAGGCAGAUGCGUUGGAAACAGCUAGAGUGUUUCGAGCCGCAGUCACCGCAGCCGACAGAUCAUCGGCACGAGCAUGAGCCUCGGCGUUGGCUCGUUGAACAUGAAGGCUUGGACAUCUCAUUCUUCUAAUGAGCGGGAGUUCUGAAGUGGAGCUGGAGUCAGGAGGAACUGAACAAAUAGAGCAUGACAUUUGUUAGUUAGCAAUUCGAGUUGCGCAGCUGUCUCGAUAACUCGUACAUUUUUUAAACCCAAGAAAAUAUAACGGAACUCGUACUUAUAGGCAGAUCAGCCUGAGGAACCGGUUCAAUCCGCGGGACCUCUUCGAUCGGAUCUAGCUGUGCUGUUGGAGGGACGAUUGCGGGAACUGCUGGAGCUACAGCAAGAGCAGCUACGAUGCGAUCUCUGCUAAAAGUGGACCAGUCAGUCUGACCACGUCGGAGAAGGGUUAACAGCUCGAGUUCCGUCUGCGAGAGAGUAACUUCCUUGGUCCUUGCUGCAAACCAUCAAAAUCAAACAAUAGUUUCAGUACUAACGUUCAGCAAAAGCAGUCAAGGAUUCGACACAAACAACAAAGAAAAAUCAAGAGGCUCAGGUCUCCAUCUGACUCAGGUUGGUAGACCAGGUCCUUGUUAUCCUCGCAGGAUCGAAACUGCCGAUUGAAUGACGGUCUACUCUGAAAAAGAAGUACUUGGAUCGCCAAUUGGUGUCUCGACAAGCUUUCAAACCACCGAGGACUAGAGAUCCGGGACGAGCACUGAUGUAGUACGUCCCUUGGUCACUCCUAGCAUUGGUCUUGACCUGGCAGAGCUGAAGCAGGUCAUGGCAGCUGAAUGCUCUGUGAAUAACGCCAGCACAUGGCAAACGAAGUUCGGACACAUCUGGGGAAAGGCGAGGCCGAGACAGUAGAGCAUCUCGAGGAUACACGCCGGAAUUGGGAAAAAUAGGCCACAUUUCUCGAAGAAAUUGGCAUAAGCGCAGCACCACCCGACCGACACGUUCUCAAGAUGCAGCGGCGGCCUUGAGAGUAUCAUAUGUACCUCCACCGGAACCUGGCAUCUCCUCCGGAGGUCGACCAGGUCGCUGUUCGUCAUUGGCGUGCCUCCUCCUUGCUUGGCAGCCUUUUUCUUCUUCGGCUUGUCGGCUCUGGUUGACGGCGAACGAAUUGGACCCAUUCCGCCUAGGGUUAUGACGCGUUUUUGUACUCGCGGCGGUGACGAACUUGAAUUGUCGCCGUAGCUGUGGUUGCUUUUGUUCUGAGAAUCUUCGAAGUCGCUCAUCUUUGGUUUUCGACAGAGAAGGACGAGAGAGUUGAAAGAAAAAAGCAAAGAAGGCAGAUCGAGAAGGAGGGAGUAGCAGAGAAACGAAGGAGAUAGCAAAAAAAUAAAGACGAGAUUUUUUCUACUUCUACAAAACAAAGCGCAGUAAAUAAUAAAGGAGGAGAGAAGUUACCUUGAGAGUUGGGUGAGUUGACGUGACGUCAAGUGGAGAGGUGGGAAGUUAUUUAACGCCAUCAUCACCACGAUUUUCGAGAUUGCAGAGAUCUCUUCUCCGCGCCUGAUCUGGACUGUCAGAUGCGGUGCGCUGAAGAGACGCUCCAUCUCAGCCGUCCACAUCAGCAGCGACUUAUCUCGCGUAUCUCCUCAAAAUCUUUCGGUUAAGGGAAUCUGAAAUUAAAACGAAAUUGUUGAGUUUAUCCUCAAAACCGACUGAUCUAAUCACAUUUAUCUUCUCAUCAAGAA